ensembl:lncRNA
AUGUAUUCAAGGACACUUCUGUCCCAUAGGGUCCUCGUCCCCAUGAGCCUUGUCCAGCAGGCCACUACAGUAACAGCAGCAAGAACACUAAGCUGUCUGACUGUCUGCAUUGUCCUCCAGGAUUUGCUUGUUCCAGUAGGGGGCUCUCCUCCCCUUCUCAUGUGUGCCAGAUGGGCUGCUACUGCCCACAGGGUCAAAAUUCCAGCCAGCCUGCCCACUUCAUCUGCUCACCUGGGUAUAUGUGUCCACCUGCCAGCCCUGUCCAGAUUCCCUGUCCGUUUGGGACAUAGCAGAACCUCCAGGGGCAGGCUCAGAGUCCGGAGUGAGCUUUCCCUGCCCUGUGGGCACUUUUAA